AAGUCGUAACAAGGUUUCCGUAGGUGAACCUGCGGAAGGAUCAUUAAUGAAUUAAACAACAAAGUUGUCGCUGGCUUCUUACGAGGCAUGUGCACACUUUGUUAAUUUAUCCACAUACCUCUGUGCACCCUUCAUAGAUUGGCAAACGGCGGGUUCAUCCUGCUCAGUAGUCUCUCUGUGUAUUCAAUAAACAUACUGUAUCAGAAUGUCUAUUUGCGAUAAUCGCAUUGAAAUACAACUUUCAGCAACGGAUCUCUUGGCUCUC
rnacentral:misc_RNA from 1 species